AGUUGUGAAAGUCUGUCGCUUAACGGUAGGAUUGCCAUUGAUACUGUUGGACUUGAAUAUGGAUGAGGUAGGCGGAAUGUGUAGUGUAGCGGUGAAAUGCAUAGAUAUUACACAGAACACCGAUUGCGAAGGCAGCUUACUAAUCCAUCAUUGACGCUGAGGCACGAAAGCGUGGGGAUCAAACAGGAUUAGAUACCCUGGUAGUCCACGCCGUAAACGAUGAUCACUCGCUGUUUGCGAUAUACAGUAAGCGGNUAAGCGAAAGCGCUAAGUGAUCCACCUGGGGAGUACGAUCGCAAGGUUGAAACUCAAAGGAA
rnacentral:rRNA from 1 species